UCCGCAAUCUGAAAAUAUCAAAGAAGAUAUGCCGAUGAAAUACACACAUUCCAGAAGUUUGUCUGGUACACACGAAGACCGAUUUAAAUGUAUAAUUUCUUUGCAGAAAAUUAAUUCUUAUUGUUAUUUGGAGCAAAAUGAAUAACAAACACUCUAAAUUCAUGUUUGUUUUAUAUCCAGAGAUUACGAGCAUUAUAAAUCUUAAUGUCGAGAUACCCAUUCAUGAACAUAGGUAUAAAAGAGAAAGUGUUACUUUACUAUUUACUAUGUAGGUCAAGGUGUGUGAUUAUUGAAUGAAUCAAACCCGUAAGUGAUAUUCGUAAAAACCGUGUAAUCAACGUUUACAUCAUCAAAAGAAUACACUAUUUGAUUUUAGACUAUUUUAGAAAUAUGGUGGAUUUUAUUAGCAUAUGAUAUUAGUCGAACACGGUAUGCGAGGGUACACGAGAGUAAUUGGAAAAGUUUACUGUUCAUUAAAAAUUGAGACUAAAAACUGAUUGCCGUUAAUUCUAUAAUUUAUGAGUUACAGGAGAUACCUCAACAAUGAUAAAUGAGUUACAAAAUUACCGCGCACAGGUUCACCGGCCUUGUGUAAUUGCAUUUUUAAAAACAGUUAUACUAUCUGUCUCGGAACUGUGUCAAGAACAACCACUGAUGCGUCCGAACGAAUUUUAUGCUGAAAAAAAAUUACAGUCGCUGAUUCAAAGCAUAAUCUACAUCAGAAGUGGUACAGAUCACUUCUAAUGAAAAAUCACGAACCAGUUUUAAUGAGAAUUUUAUACAAUGGACAUCAGCGAUUCAUUGAACGCAUUAUAUUCGACAUUGAAUCUGCCAGUGGAUACGUUAUCACAUCCACGUUUAGAACAGAUCUACACGUCAGUGAUCUGAAGAUUACUUCUAGUCCGCGACCCGCUGCACGUGAUUCGUUGCACUUUCUCUCAGCGUCUAGACGAAUGUAAUGACACUUAAAUUAGAUUGGAGAAAUUUAAUCCAACGCAUAAUAACAAUUAAACAAUGACAAAGUGAAAGAGAAAAAAAGUGGACAAAAAUAACAGACAGAUGCAGUAGCCGCGGUACAAGCAUAUUUCUAUGCAAAUAAUUUUCUCGAUCGAAUCUCGCUUUAUUGCAGCAAUAAAUUCAUGUAUUGGCCAUAUUUAGAAAGGUGUGAUUUCGCAAUAUAAAUUAUACGUGCGCACACUUAUGUACGUUCAUGUACGCGGCGGACACGUAAGUAAUUUAUAAGAAUAACUUCAUAAUCUUGCUUCGAACGUGUCACUCAUUUUUCAUACUACCAGUGCAUGUGUAUAAUACACUGUAGUAGGUAAUUCAACUCUCUCGUGUUCACCGGGUGAUCGCUGUUCGAUUGGCCUUCGAUCGGCAGACUAUUUACCAUAUAUUGAGUGCGAUUAAUAACGAAAGGCAAGUGAAUAAAAAAUACGCUCGGUAGUCGGUCAAAAUAAAUUGGGAGUUGAAUCGAAAGAAUUGCAGGAAAAGUUUUAUCAACGACUCAUCCGUCGAUAGCGUUGCUACAACAGAUUAAGACGAUAAUUCAAGAGUGAGAUGAACUUCAACCAUGGUUUAACGAAGCUCUCGUUCCCUCAAAUUCGGGGGUAGUUUUCUAGAAUUUUCCUACGUCCGAUUCCAAUGACACGUAUUGCGACGAAGUGAAAUCAAAAGCAGACGAGUAGACGAUUGGUCAACGGAUAUAUACAGGUUCGAUUGCAAUGUCGAAACAAUUAAUUGUAAGUCAGUCGUGCAGCUGCGCGAGCUCCUGAUGUUCUUGGACGGCUGCGGCUCGAUGCAGGUGAAUUGCGGAAUGGCUUCGAAUUUCGGGAGGAGUCGAAGCGGAUCUCUCCCGACUGAUCACGAGCCACACUGGUGAAUAAAUAAAUAAAUAAAUAAAUGGAACUAACGCACAUAUCACCGCUUCCUGUAGAAGAAGUGAGUUGCGGACCUAACGCGGAAUAAAUGUUGCAGAUAAGAGAAAUAUCAAUUCAAUUGUCGCCUGACGUUAGUUUUAUUUUGUAAAAUUACAUGUGUAUGCGGUUCCACGAGGCACAGGGAACUUGACCUAGUUAUGUAAGACGGGUACGAGUAGUUCGUAUUUCGGCAAAAACCAGUUGUCAAGAUUUCACAAAUAAUGGUAAGGCAAGUAGAAUUUUUUGAUCGAUUGCCCUCUAGUUUCUGUAAAGGUAUCGAAGCCAACCCUUACACUGGCAUUAACUAUCGAUUCAAACGUGAUUUCGAAUUUACGGAUUGACAAUUCCCUGAUAUGGUAUAAAUUCAAUGACAAUUUGACGACGUUGCGAAAUCGUUGGCAAUUAAAAAUAUAAUUGGCGUAAGUCUUGUGAGAAGAAUUGAGGCGGAUUUCGUUCGCUCCCGAAGAUGCAGCAGGCGCAAAGGAAGGAGGAAGGUAAAACGAAAAGCUGAGGACCCGAAGCGACCCGAUCUAUCCGGGGCUUGCUGUCGCAUCGGAUGAGAGAGGGCAGAGCAGGGCAAAGAACAGGGAAUUACUUGGGAAGAGGAAAAAAGGGGGGACACGACCGGGACACGGCGCGUCUUCCACGUAGCCAAUGACCAAGAAACCGCACCCGACUUCGAUACCCAACUUGAAUUAUUGAGAUAACGCGACUUUUACCUCCGGACAUAGUGAUGUGGUUCUGAGGAAAUACGUUAGACAGGUUUUGAAAAAAAACGAAAAAUUUGUGGAAUUUCAUUACGAUUAACGAUAAAGAUGUAAUCUGUUUAAUUUCAAGGGAAUUAUUAACUGGAGUCAGAUGAAUGCCUUUUUAUUUUAAUUGUAGCGUAACGAGCUCGCUGUUUUUUUCCUCGUACAUGGUUCUUGUUACAUCAAUCGAUGUAGGUAAUAGGUAUGGCUUUGAAGGCGGAAUGCGAGUUAGAUAAUCAGCCCGGACACACGUUUUCAGCAUACGAUUAGAUGCAUUUUCUGCACAACAAGCAGUGAUCUCAUUAGAUGCUAGAAAAUUGAGCAACAUUGAUAUCUGGAUUAAAUAGCUGACUGAGUGAAUGGCGUAAUUCAAUGUAUCAAGAAUGUAUCACAUCGUUGGUCGUCCAAAUCUAUAACCACGUGUCAAAUCAGUGGAUAAUAGAUAAACACGCGUUGCUUACUAGAUGAUUGGAGUCGAUGAAAUAACCUUUAAAUUUUGUUCCUGUCAAAACUAUAGCGAAGAGUGAAACAAAAAUUUUCGGAAAACUUGAAUGAACUGAUUUUCGUUUGCUUAAUAGGGAUUGUUGGAAUGACGACUGUUGUAAAUAAACAAAAUCUUAUACGUGUGGGGAUAAGCAUUUCAAAGGUAGAAAAAAACAUGUUGUAAUAGAUAAUUCCUUCUGAAAUUACUGAGGGAAUUGUGAGUACGGAAUAUGCAGGUUCUUGACAAAUUUUUUCAAUUUUCCAAAACGUGCGGCGUCUAUUCGUAGCAAGUGAAUACGAUCGACUGUACGACGAGUUUGGCACGGGAAUUCGUCGCAUAAGCAACUUGAGUGACGGGGUCGAGAGUGUUUCCUCCCGAUGACGACGUGAACUUACGACUUACACGUCGUGUUCCAACGCGCAAAAUGUCGCCCGUUCCGAUCCUAGCCUCCUAGACGUUGCGUUAAGCUACAAGAACCUCUGGGAGGUAGCGACCCAAGAAGUCUCGACGUCAGCCUGCGGGCAGCCGCAGCUCGCGCGUUGCAAUAAAAUUAAUAAGUUUAAAAGUAAACGAUAAAUUUCAGGCGGACUAUAACGAUCGGGGAAUAUGGAGGUCGCCUCGAUGGCGUAGGUGUUAAUGAACAUGUCCGGGAUUUACCUUGAAGGGAAGGCAGGUCUGAAUUU